AUUGAACGCUGGCGGCAGGCCUAACACAUGCAAGUUGAGCGGAGCGGCGGACGGGUGAGUAAUGCCUAGGAAUCUGCCUGGUAGUGGGGGAUAACGUUCGGAAACGGGCGCCAAUACCGCAUACUAUCAGAUGAGCCUAGGUCGGAUUAGCUAGUUGGUGGGGUAACGGCCUACCAAGGCGACGGUCCGUAACUGGUCUGAGAGGAUGAUCAGUCACGCGGGAACGGAGACACGAUCCAGAAGCCUACGGGAGAGAGCAGUGGGGAGUAUUGGACGAUGGGCGAAAGCCUAAUCCAGCCAUGCCGCGUGUGUGAAGAAGGUCUUCGGAUUGUAAAGCACGUUAAGUUGGGGGGCGUUACCAACAGAGUAAGCACCGGCUAACUUCGUGCCAGCCGCCGCGGUAAUUC
rnacentral:rRNA from 1 species